rfam:Eubacterium sp. CAG:274 genomic scaffold, scf34
AGGGAAUGAUGUUCUCCCUAGGACUUUGUCCUGAACUGCCGAAGGGCUGAUGGCGUCUGCGUUUUU